rnacentral:piRNA from 1 species
UGCUCAUUAAAGAAACCAAGUCAGGUUGC